GACGAACGCUGGCGGCGUGCUUAACACAUGCAAGUCGAACGGAAAGGCCCUGCUUUUGUGGGGUGCUCGAGUUGCGAACGGGUGAGUAACCCGUGAGUAACCUGCCCUUGACUUUGGGGUAACUUCAGGAAACUUGGUCUAAUACCGGAUAGGAGCUCCUGCUGCAUGGUGGGGGUGGGAAAGUUUCGGCGGUUGGGGAUGGACUCGCGUCUUAUCGGCUUGUUGGUGGGGUAGUGGAUUACCAAGGCCUGGAAGGGUAGCCGGCCUGAGCGGGUGACCGGACACAUUGGGACUGAGCUACGGCACAGACCCGUACCGGAGGCAGCAGUGGGGAAUAUUGUAUAAUGGGAGGAAGCCAGAUGCAGCAACGCAGCGUGCGGGAUGACGGCCAUCGGGUAGGAAACUGCUUCCGUUUGUGACGAAGCGUGAAUGACGGUACCGGGUAAAGAAGCACCGGCUAACUACGUG
rnacentral:rRNA from 1 species